GUUAGCGACCAAGGCCUUUGCCUCUUUUUUUUUUUUUUCGCACUCAUUGUCAGAAUAAGUGUUCUUUUCGUGCAUAGCUAUGCCGUGUACCCCACUUCUUGAGACUGGGUGUUGUUGAACGUGCAGUUCUAAUGAUGUACUAGCUCGUCAGGGAGGACAUUGAGCAGCUAAGGAUGUCAGUUUAAUGCCGUCUUUCAGGUUCCUGUUCGCUUCUUACAUAGUCCGUGAGGUCAAGACGACUGCAUCCUUUCAGAAAUUUGGAGAAUGUAUUCAGUGCUACGUGUGCAGGCUUGGCAACUCUUUCUGUUUUGUUAUUUUUACGUUAGCGACCAAGGCCUUUGCCUCUUUUUUUUUUUUCGCACUCAUUGUCAGAAUAAGUGUUCUUUUCGUGCAUAGCUAUGCCGUGUACCCCACUUCUUGAGACUGGGUGUUGUUGAACGUGCAGUUCUAAUGAUGUACUAGCUCGUCAGGGAGGACAUUGAGCAGCUAAGGAUGUCAGUUUAAUGCCGUCUUUCAGGUUCCUGUUCGCUUCUUACAUAGUCCGUGAGGUCAAGACGACUGCAUCCUUUCAGAAAUUUGGAGAAUGUAUUCAGUGCUACGUGUGCAGGCUUGGCAACUCUUUCUGUUUUGUUAUUUUUACGUUAGCGACCAAGGCCUUUGCCUCUUUUUUUUUUUUUUUUCGCACUCAUUGUCAGAAUAAGUGUUCUUUUCGUGCAUAGCUAUGCCGUGUACCCCACUUCUUGAGACUGGGUGUUGUUGAACGUGCAGUUCUAAUGAUGUACUAGCUCGUCAGGGAGGACAUUGAGCAGCUAAGGAUGUCAGUUUAAUGCCGUCUUUCAGGUUCCUGUUCGCUUCUUACAUAGUCCGUGAGGUCAAGACGACUGCAUCCUUUCAGAAAUUUGGAGAAUGUAUUCAGUGCUACGUGUGCAGGCUUGGCAACUCUUUCUGUUUUGUUAUUUUUACGUUAGCGACCAAGGCCUUUGCCUCUUUUUUUUUUUUCGCACUCAUUGUCAGAAUAAGUGUUCUUUUCGUGCAUAGCUAUGCCGUGUACCCCACUUCUUGAGACUGGGUGUUGUUGAACGUGCAGUUCUAAUGAUGUACUAGCUCGUCAGGGAGGACAUUGAGCAGCUAAGGAUGUCAGUUUAAUGCCGUCUUUCAGGUUCCUGUUCGCUUCUUACAUAGUCCGUGAGGUCAAGACGACUGCAUCCUUUCAGAAAUUUGGAGAAUGUAUUCAGUGCUACGUGUGCAGGCUUGGCAACUCUUUCUGUUUUGUUAUUUUUACGUUAGCGACCAAGGCCUUUGCCUCUUUUUUUUUUUUUUUCGCACUCAUUGUCAGAAUAAGUGUUCUUUUCGUGCAUAGCUAUGCCGUGUACCCCACUUCUUGAGACUGGGUGUUGUUGAACGUGCAGUUCUAAUGAUGUACUAGCUCGUCAGGGAGGACAUUGAGCAGCUAAGGAUGUCAGUUUAAUGCCGUCUUUCAGGUUCCUGUUCGCUUCUUACAUAGUCCGUGAGGUCAAGACGACUGCAUCCUUUCAGAAAUUUGGAGAAUGUAUUCAGUGCUACGUGUGCAGGCUUGGCAACUCUUUCUGUUUUGUUAUUUUUACGUUAGCGACCAAGGCCUUUGCCUCUUUUUUUUUUUUUUUCGCACUCAUUGUCAGAAUAAGUGUUCUUUUCGUGCAUAGCUAUGCCGUGUACCCCACUUCUUGAGACUGGGUGUUGUUGAACGUGCAGUUCUAAUGAUGUACUAGCUCGUCAGGGAGGACAUUGAGCAGCUAAGGAUGUCAGUUUAAUGCCGUCUUUCAGGUUCCUGUUCGCUUCUUACAUAGUCCGUGAGGUCAAGACGACUGCAUCCUUUCAGAAAUUUGGAGAAUGUAUUCAGUGCUACGUGUGCAGGCUUGGCAACUCUUUCUGUUUUGUUAUUUUUACGUUAGCGACCAAGGCCUUUGCCUCUUUUUUUUUUUUUUUUUCGCACUCAUUGUCAGAAUAAGUGUUCUUUUCGUGCAUAGCUAUGCCGUGUACCCCACUUCUUGAGACUGGGUGUUGUUGAACGUGCAGUUCUAAUGAUGUACUAGCUCGUCAGGGAGGACAUUGAGCAGCUAAGGAUGUCAGUUUAAUGCCGUCUUUCAGGUUCCUGUUCGCUUCUUACAUAGUCUGUGAGGUCAAGACGACUGCAUCCUUUCAGAAAUUUGGAGAAUGUAUUCAGUGCUACGUGUGCAGGCUUGGCAACUCUUUCUGUUUUGUUAUUUUUACGUUAGCGACCAAGGCCUUUGCCUCUUUUUUUUUUCGCACUCAUUGUCAGAAUAAUUGUUGUUUUCCGACUGUUGUGCUGGUGAUAUAGCGUGUU